rnacentral:rRNA from 1 species
ACGGGGGCGCAGCAGGCGCGAAAACUUUACAAUGCGGGAAACCGUGAUAAGGGGACACCGAGUGCCAGCAUCAUAUGCUGGCUGUCCAGAUGUGUAAAAUACAUCUGUUAGCAAGGGCCGGGCAAGACCGGUGCCAGCCGCCGCGGUAACACCGGCGGCCCGAGUGGUGAUCGUGAUUAUUGGGUCUAAAGGGUCCGUAGCCGGUUUGGUCAGUCCUCCGGGAAAUCUGAUGGCUCAACCAUUAGGCUUUCGGGGGAUACUGCCAGGCUUGGAACCGGGAGAGGUAAGAGGUACUACAGGGGGUAGGAGUGAAAUCUUGUAAAUCCCUGUGAGACCACCUGUGGCGAAGGCGUCUUACCAGAACGGGGUUCGACGGUGAGGGGACCGGAAAGGCUGGGGGGCACGAAACCGGGAAUUAGAUACCCGGGUAGUCCCAGCCGUAAACGAUGCUCGCUAGGUGUCAGGCAUGGCGCGACCGCGUCUGGUGCCGCAGGAAGCCGUGAAGCGAGCCACCUGGGAAGUACGGCCGCAAGGCUGAAACUUAAAGGAAUUGGCGGGGUGAGCACAACAACGGGUGGAGCCUGCGGUUUAAUUGGACUCAACGCCGGACAACUCACCGGGGACGACAGCAAUAUGUAGGCCAGGCUGAAGACCUUGCCUGAAUCGCUGAGAGGAGGUGCAUGGCCGUUCGCCAGUUCGUACUGUGAAGCAUCCUGUAAGUCAGGCAACGAGCGAGACCCGUGCCCACUGUUACCAGCAUGUCCUCCGGGACGAUGGGUACUCUGUGGGGACCGCCGAUGUUAAAUCGGAGGAAGGUGCGGGCCACGGUAGGUCAGUAUGCCCCGAAUUUCCCGGGCUACACGCGGGCUACAAUGAAUGGGACAAUGGGUCCCUACCCUGAAAAGGGCUGGUAAUCUCCCAAACCCAUCCGUAGUUCGGAUCGAGGGCUGUAACUCGCCCUCGUGAAGCUGGAAUCCGUAGUAAUCGCGUUUCAAUAUAGCGCGGUGAAUACGUCCCUGCUCCUUGCACACACCGCCCGUCAAACCACCCGAGUGAGGUAUGGGUGAGGGCACGAACUCUGUGUCGUGUUCGAACCUGUGCUUUGCAAGGGGGGUUAAGUCGUAACAAGGUAGCCGUAAAUCGAUUCCCGCGGCC